rfam:Picea glauca, whole genome shotgun sequence.
AUGUACAUGCCUACAACAUUAAUGUAGUGGAUCCCAUUAGAACUCUGCACUUAAACAUGCUUCGCCUAGAGUAGUACUGGGAUGGGAGACCUCUCGAGAAGUCAUAUAGUGUUUUGCAUG